GAGGAAAGUCCGGGCUACACAGGGCAGAGUGCCGGAUAACGUCCGGGAGGCGAGAGCCUACGACAAGUGCAGCAGAGAGCAAACCGCCGAUGGCCCGCAAGGGAUCAGGUAAGGGUGAAAGGGUGCGGUAAGAGCGCACCGUGCCGCCGGUAACGGUUGGUAGCAGGGUAAACUCCACUCGUAGCAAGACCAAAUAGGAAUCCAAUGAAUGGCCCGUUCAGGAUUCGGGUAGGUUGCUUGAGCGCAUGUGUAAAUAUGCGCCUAGAUGAAUGAUUGUCCAUGACAGAACCCGGCUUA
rnacentral:RNase_P_RNA from 1 species